UGCGUAGGCGGGGCAAUUAGUCAGUGGUGAAAUCCUGCGGCUUAACCGUAGAACUGCCAUUGAUACUGUUGCUCUUGAGUAUAGUUGAGGUGGGCGGAAUGUGUAAUGUAGCGGUGAAAUGCAUAGAUAUUACACAGAACACCAAUUGCGAAGGCAGCUCACUAAGCUAUAACUGACGCUGAGGCACGAAAGCGUGGGGAGCAAACAGGAUUAGAUACCCUGGUAGUCC
rnacentral:rRNA from 1 species